CUUUUUAUCCUCCAUUUCUACUAUACAGGGAAAGUAAGUUGUUUUGAACCCUAACUCGCUUCCUAGCAUAAGCAGUGUUAAUGGCAGCGUAAAUUGGAAAAUUGAACAACCUACUUAUAGGCCCACGCCGUCUCAAUUCUGCAACAUCUGGUAAUAACUCGAAUUUUAUAUGCGAUAAUGGGGGAAGAUCAUUGAACAAGAAUGCUUAGAAUACUGUUUGUUUAGCAAUUAGUGUCUCUUUAAAUCGAUUCAACAAUUCAUAAUUGGUAAGGAUCGCCAUUUAUAACACUUUUUUGAGAUUGCAAGCAUCCUCUCUUUACAAAGCCGUUUUUAUUGUGAAUUUUAUACCAAAUAAUUUGUUUGAAAAGUUUUAGGAGUGCCUAUAUUUAGAGUAUUUAUGUAUUAUUUGAUUAUUAUGCUAAAAUUUGUGCAUAAUUUGUUGAAUAUUUGUUCAAAAUCAAUGGAAUGAUAAUAGGCUAAUUGGUGAGCUCAAUUGUAGAAUCAAAAGAAAUUGAAAAAUGUAAAAUUUGAUUUUUUGCCUAUGCGUACGCACAAGUUUAAUUUUGUGUGUAUAUGAGAUGUGUUUUGACUAAAACAGAAUUAAAUUUGCUUCUACUAUGUGUACGCAUGGUGUUAAAAAAAUAAUCGUCGGCUGAUUUUUCAAUUUGAAACUUGGAAGCCGUUUUGAAUUAAAAGUUGCCACUUUUCAUCUUGUUUUGGCACCAUUUUAUGAUGUAUUGAUUGAGGUCUAUAAAUAGGUAAUGAAUGAUCAAUACAAACACAUUAGAGACGUUGAAAAAUAUCUUGAGAUUCAUAUAUCAUUUCACAUUGAAUCAAACUAUUGAUUUAUAUGCAUAUUCAAUAUCUUUGUGUUCUUAAAAUUUUGGAAGAUUGCAUUUGUGCUUUAGUGUUAAAUCCUUUAUAAGGCUUGAUAUAAUCCUGCAAACUGUUUGUCAAAACCCUUAAGAAUCCCAUUCAAUCCCGAGAGGGGACAAAUAUAAUUUGAGGGCAGCGAUUACGCGUUUGAGCUUUCAUAUUCGUUAUGUUCUUCAUCUUUUUUAUCAUAUUUCUGGUGAUAUAAUCUCACAAAUCGUUUGCCAAAACACUUAAGCAUCCCAUUCAAUCCCGAGAGGGGACAAAUAUAGUUUGAGAACAACGAUUACGCGUUUGAGUCUUCAUAUUCGUUAUGUUCUUAAUCUUUUUUUAUCACAUUUUUGAUUGUUUGUUUCUUCUCCAUUUUCCCCAAUUGAUGUAAAUUUUCCAACAUAAUUUAUCAAUAUUUGGCAUCAUUCUGUGUACCGACUCAGCUGUUGUGGGUGACUGUGUGUUUGAAUUAGUAAUUGUAUUAGGCAUUUAAGCAUAAACAUGGGAGAUUUAAUAAACUAUGAGUAGUGCAACCUUUUUCAAUAAUCUUAAAGCUGCGCAUUAUACUUGUAUAUUCCCUUAUGAUAUUCCCUUAUGUAUUAUAAUUAAAAAUGCUUAGUGUCAUCAUUUUAGGUGCCUUGACUCGUAAGAGUUUCAUUGCAGGCUCAUAGUGCCAAUCCCAGUUGAUUUCUUUUAUAUUUUUAGAACAGAUUUGGAUUCAUUUUUCAGAUACGCUUUAAUUUUUUUAAAGAUAAUAGAUGCUAGGACAGACCAACUAGUCAAGACCAAAAGGCAAGACCAAGAGAAGGUCAAGUCCAUGCCGAGCAAAACGUGACCGAUCGUACCAGUAUCAAAUAGAGGCCAGCGCAACAGCAAGACAGUGAGAUUGGGCAGAGACAUAUUUAGCCCCAUACUUCACUAAUUAAUGUUAAGAAGACCACUACUUAAUGUUAAGAAGACAUACAUUAAUUGUCCUUAUGGAACCUCAGAAAUACAAAAUUGUUAAGGUACUCAAGAUGAAUUAAUCUGUGCUUUCAUUUGUUAGGAUUCCUGGAUGUAGUUAGAAAAUUAUCUGAGUAGAUGAUAUCGUGUAUUAUUUAUGUUCUUUUUCAUGUGUUCAUGUAUGAAUUAGAUUUAUUGCAGACAUGGCAAUUAGGUUGUCAAAUGUAUAUUGGCAAUGCCACUAUCUAAGCCCUCCAAUGCAUUUUCCUUUUGUUCUCUUUCUCUUGUUAUACAUAGAGGCAACUAUACCAAUCUUUUCACCUUAUAAGAAAUGGGCCAUAAAACUUUCUACACUAUUGCUUUCUUUUGCUAGAUCUUCUAUUUUGCACCAUUAACCAAAAGGCCUACCUGAUUAUAAGUUCCUGGAUCUCUUAGUUGCAAUUUCUAGGAUAAAUCUUGCCCUAACUUGCUUAUUUAGCUAAGUGGGGCUUUUGGGCGGCAUUCAAAAAUGACAAAAGAAUAGCUGCAUCCCUUCUUUGUUUACAUUUUCAUGACUGUUUUGUGAAUGUAAUUCUCUACUCACUCUAUACAUAUAGCCUUCUUGUCUAAUUUUUAACGAUUCAACAUUGUUUCUGAAAUUUUUUUGGAUGGCACUUAGACAUUUUACUCCUCCAAAUUGCAUAUAGUUGGACUAUAUAUGCUUCAGUAUCAUACAAGUUAUCAGUUUUUAAGGAGAAUCAAUAUUCAAAAGAUGUGAUUUUGUUUUUGAUGAAGAGAAUUAGGAAGGGAAAAAAAAUUUAGACUCGGUAAGGAGUGAAGCAGAUUUAAUGACUUUCAAGAAAUUGUGUUACCAUUGAGAAAAUGGAGAUACAAUCAAUGCCUCUUUUGUAGUCCUUCAGUAAGUUCUGCCUUAUAUUUGACAAUAAUCAUUAUGUUUCCUCUCCUUUUGUAGCUCUAAAACUACGCAACCUGAAACCAAACCUUAGAUGAAGAUUUUUAAAUCGUGUUAUACUAUGUAGCUAUAGUUUGUGCACUACUCUGCCUGGUAAAUUUUAAGGUUAAUGUGCAAUGCAUAUGCUUGGCCUAGGGACGUGAUGGCUCUGUUCUUCUUGAUGAUACUCAAGAUUUCAAGGGGGAGAAGAAUGCUUUACCCAACCGCCAUUCAGUUUGAGGAUUUGAAGUUAUUGACAGUAUAAAGGCAGACGUAGAAAGAUCCUUGACAGACUGACUCUUGCNAUGAAAAAUAUUUUCCAAUUUUUGGUCAUAUG
rnacentral:lncRNA from 1 species